CCUACGGGCGGCAGCAGUGGGGAAUAUUGCACAAUGGGCGCAAGCCUGAUGCAGCCAUGCCGCGUGUAUGAAGAAGGCCUUCGGGUUGUAAAGUACUUUCAGCGGGGAGGAAGGUGUUGUGGUUAAUAACCACAGCAAUUGACGUUACCCGCAGAAGAAGCACCGGCUAACUCCGUGCCAGCAGCCGCGGUAAUACGGAGGGUGCAAGCGUUAAUCGGAAUUACUGAGCGUAAAGCGCACGCAGGCGGUCUGUCAAGUCGGAUGUGAAAUCCCCGGGCUCAACCUGGGAACUGCAUUCGAAACUGGUAGGCUAGAGUCUUGUAGAGGGGGGUAGAGUUCCAGGUGUAGCGGUGAAAUGCGUAGAGAUCUGGGGGAAUACCGGUGGCGAAGGCGGCCCCCAGGACAAAGACUGACGCUCAGGUGCGAAAGCGUGGGGAGCAAACAGGACUAGAUACCCCUGUAGUC
rnacentral:rRNA from 1 species